UACGGAGGGUGCAAGCGUUGUCCGGAUUUAUUGGGUUUAAAGGGUGCGUAGGUGGGGUCUCAAGUCUGGUUUGAAAGUUAGCUGCUCAACAGUUAGACGUGGCUGGAAACUGGGAUUCUGGAAUGGGUAGGCGGCUGCUGGAACGGGUCAUGUAGCGGUGAAAUGCGUAGAUAUGAGCCGGAACACCGAUUGCGAAGGCAGGCAGCUACGACCUGACUGACACUGAGGCACGAGAGCAUGGGUAGCAAACAGG
rnacentral:rRNA from 1 species